AAAAAUGAUGAUAGCAUAUGAGAAAAAAUCCGAACUAGUGCUUAAAAAUUCACAACAUGUAUGAUCAUUAAGCAUGCAAGAAAUUGGAUCAAUUGGCUCAAAGAUGAAGAUUUCACAAAGCAUUGAACACAACAUAUCCAUUUAGCACAAUGUCCAUUCAAAAAUUCACAAAUGAAAAACCAGACAUCAACAAUUCAUGAAAAUAAUACCAUAAAAAAGUAGACAUUCAUACAAAGCUAGGAAAAAAAAUUGAAGUUAAUUUGGAUCAUUUUUCUAUUUUUU
rnacentral:lncRNA from 1 species